CCUACGGGUGGCAGCAGUGAGGAAUAUUGGUCAAUGGACGAGAGUCUGAACCAGCCAAGUAGCGUGAAGGAUGACUGCCCUAUGGGUUGUAAACUUCUUUUAUAUGGGAAUAACAUGUUCCACGUGUGGGAUUUUGUAUGUACCAUAUGAAUAAGGAUCGGCUAACUCCGUGCCAGCAGCCGCGGUAAUACGGAGGAUCCGAGCGUUAUCCGGAUUUAUUGGGUUUAAAGGGAGCGUAGGUGGAUUGUUAAGUCAGUUGUGAAAGUUUGCGGCUCAACCGUAAAAUUGCAGUUGAGACUGGCAGUCUUGAGUACAGUAGAGGUGGGCGGAAUUCGUGGUGUAGCGGUGAAAUGCUUAGAUAUCACGAAGAACUCCGAUUGCGAAGGCAGUUCACUGGACUGCAACUGACACUGAGGCUCGAAAGUGUGGGUAUCAAACAGGAUUAGAUACCCCAGUAGUC
rnacentral:rRNA from 1 species